rnacentral:rRNA from 1 species
UACAGAGGUGGCAAGCGUUGUUCGGAAUUACUGGGCGUAAAGGGCGCGUAGGCGGUCUUGUCAGUCCCUUGUGAAAUCCCCCGGCUCAACCGGGGAAGUGCACCCGAAACUGCAAAGCUAGAGUCUCGGAGAGGAUCGUGGAAUUCUCGGUGUAGAGGUGAAAUUCGUAGAUAUCGAGAGGAACACCGGUGGCGAAGGCGGCGAUCUGGACGAUGACUGACGCUGAGACGCGAAAGCGUGGGGAGCAAACAGG